rnacentral:rRNA from 1 species
GACGAACCGUGCGAACGUUAUUCGGAAUCACUGGGCUUAAAGCGCGUGUAGGCGGCCCGGCACGUCCGUCGCUGAAAUCCCCCGGCUCAACCGGGGAAGUGGCGUGGAUACGACCGGGCUGGAGGGGGGUAGGGGGAGCCGGAACUUCCGGUGGAGCGGUGAAAUGCGUUGAGAUCGGAAGGAACGCCCGUGGCGAAAGCGGGCUCCUGGACCCCACCUGACGCUGAGACGCGAAAGCCAGGGGAGCGAACAGG